UUUAAAUUUUUUUGAGUUACACGCUUGAAGAAGAUAUGAAGAAUUAAAUAGAUGAAGAGCAGAAUGCAAGAGAGUGAUAAUUGGUGAGGAAGAAGGGAGAAAGAGCGCCUGCAUUUAUAGGCGAGCUCUCUGGAAUUCGUGACGGUCGUCACGUUUGUGAGACGGACGUCACCCUAUAGGGACGGUCGUCACACGCUGAAUUUCAAAAAGUUUCUCUAACACUGGUUGCAGCAGAGUUAACAGCAUAAAUGAUAGCUAAGCAAUUUUAAUUUUUGACAGCAUAAGUGCAGAAAUAAAUAAAUAGAUGAAAUAAGCGUAGUUAAAUGAAUAGCAAUUGAAUUAAUAAAUUAAAAUUAAAUGUAACAUAGGAUAAAAAAUAGUGACGAUAACAUAGCAAACAAAAGUAAUUAAAUAAUUAAACAAAAAUGAUGG
rnacentral:lncRNA from 1 species